GAUGAACGCUGGCGGCGUGCCUAAUACAUGCAAGUCGAGCGAACAGACGAGGAGCUUGCUCCUCUGACGUUAGCGGCGGACGGGUUAGUAACACGUUGAUAACCUACCUAUAAGACUGGGAUAACUUCGGGAAACCGGAGCUAAUACCGGAUAAUAUAUUGAACCGCAUGGUUCAAUAGUGAAAGACGGUUUUGCUGUCACUUAUAGAUGGAUCCGCGCCGCAUUAGCUAGUUGGUAAGGUAACGGCUUACCAAGGCAACGAUGCGUAGCCGACCUGAGAGGGUGAUCGGCCACACUGGAACUGAGACACGGUCCAGACUCCUACGGGAGGCAGCAGUAGGGAAUCUUCCGCAAUGGGCGAAAGCCUGACGGAGCAACGCCGCGUGAGUGAUGAAGGUCUUCGGAGCGUAAAACUCUGUUAUUAGGGAAGAACAAAUGUGUAAGUAACUAUGCACGUCUUGACGGUACCUAAUCAGAAAGCCACGGCUAACUACGUG
rnacentral:rRNA from 1 species